GAGAGGAGGUAUAUUUAUUGUAGAUGAGGUAUGAGGAGAGAGGAGGUAUAUUUAUUGUAGAUGAGGUAUGGGCUAUGAGGUCUGAGGAGAGAGGAGGUAUAUUUAUUGUAGAUGAGGUAUGGGCUAUGAGGUCUGAGGAGAGAGGAGGUAUAUUUAUUGUAGAUGAGGUAUGGGCUAUGAGGUAUGAGGAGAGAGGAGGUAUAUUUAUUGUAGAUGAGGUAUGGGCUAUGAGGUCUGAGGAGAGAGGAGG